rnacentral:rRNA from 1 species
CACCAGCGCCACGAGUGGUCAUCGCGAUUAUUGGGCCUAAAGCGUUCGUAGCCGGCUUGGUAAAUCUCUUGUGAAAUCGUUCGGCCUAACCGAACGGCGCGCAGGGGACACUGCUAAGCUCGAGACCGGGAGGGGUCAGAGGUAUUCCAGUGGGGACCGGUAAAAUGGGAUAAUCCAUGGAGGACCACCGAUGGCGAAGGCAUCGUGACCAGAACGGUUCUGACGGUGGAGGAACGAAAGCCAGGG